GGAGGGUCUGCUGCUCAGUGGCAGAGCUUCUGCUUUGCAUGCAGAAUGUCCCAAGUCAAGUCUCUGGCAUCUCCA